AACUUGAGUUUGUGGUUUUUUUGAAGUUGAGAGUGUGGGAUUUUUUGAACUUCAGUUUGUGGCAAUUGUUAAACUUGAGUUUGUGUUUUAGUUGAACCUGAGUUUGUUUCGUGUUUGAACUUGAGUUUGUGGUGUUUUUAAACAUGACUUUGUGGUAUUUUUAAAUUUGAGGGGGUAGAAUUUGUUGAACUUGAGGUUGUGGCAAUUGUUAAACUUGAGAUUUGGGUGUUGGUUGAACUUGAGUUUGUGUUGUUUUUGAACUUGAGUUUUUGGCGUUUCUGAAAUUGAGUUGGUGGUGUUUUUGAACUUGAGUUUCAUGUUUGAACUUGAUUUUGUGGUUUUUGUUGAACUUGAGUUUGUGUCGGUGUGAACUUCAGUUUGUGGUGUUUUUUAACUUGAGUUUGUGGUUUUUUUGAAGUUGAGAGUGUGGAAUUUGUUGAACUUGAGGUUGUGGCAAUUGUUAAACUUGAGUUUGUGUUUUAGUUGAACUUGAGUUUGUGUCGUGUUUGAACUUGAGUUUUUGUGUUUUUUGAACUUAAGUUUGUGUUGUUUUUGAACAUGAGUUUGUUUCAUGUUUGAACUUGAGAUUGUGGCGUUUGUUGAACUUGAGUUUGUGUGUUUGUUGAACUUGAGGGUGUGGCAAUUGUUAAAUUUUAGAUUUGGGGGUUGGUUGAACUUGAUUUUUUGUUGUUUUUGUACUGGAGUUUGUGGUUUUUUUGAAGUUGGGGGUGUGGAAUUUGUUGAAUUUGAGGUUGUGGCGAUUGUUUAACUUGAGUUUGUGUUUUAGUUGAACUUGAGUUUGUGUCAUGUUUGAACUUCAGUUUUUGUGUUUGUUGAACUUUAGUUUAUGUUGUGUUUGAACUUGAGUUUUUGUUGUAUUUGAAAUUGACUUUGUGUGUUUGUUGAACUUGAGUUUGUGUUGUGUUUGAACUUGAGUGUGUGUCAUGUUUGAACUUUAGUUAGUGGUGUUUUCGAACUUGAGUUUGUGUCGUGUUUGCACUUGAGUUUGUGGUGUUUUUGAACUUGAUUUGGUGUGUUUGUUGAACUUGAGUUUGUGGUCUUUUUGAACUCGAGUUGGUGGUGAUUUUGAACUUGAGUUUCGUGUUUGAACUUGAGUUUGUGGUUUUUGUUUAACUUGAGUUUGUCGUGUUUGAACUUGAGUUUGUGGUGUUUUUGAACUUGAGUUUCGUGUUUGAACUUGAGUUUGUGGUUUUUGUUUAACUUGAGUUUGUGUCGUGUUUGAACUUGAGUUUGUGGUGUUUUUGAACUUGAGUUUGUGUCGUGUUUGCACUUGAGUUUGUGGUGUUUUUGAACUUGAUUUGCUGUGUUUGUUGAACUUGAGUUUUUGGUCUUUUUGAACUUGAGUUGGUGGUGAUUUUGAACUUGAGUUUGUGGUAUUUCUGAAGUUUAGGGUGUGGAAUUUUUU